rnacentral:rRNA from 1 species
UCCAGACUCCUACGGGAGGCAGCAGUGGGGAAUAUUGGGCAAUGGGCGCAAGCCUGACCCAGCAACGCCGCGUGAAGGAAGAAGGCUUUCGGGUUGUAAACUUCUUUUGACAGGGAAGAGUAGAAGACGGUACCUGUCGAAUAAGCCACGGCUAACUACGUGCCAGCAGCCGCGGUAAUACGUAGGUGGCAAGCGUUGUCCGGAUUUACUGGGUGUAAAGGGCGUGUAGCCGGGUUGACAAGUCAGAUGUGAAAUCCUGUGGCUUAACCGCAGAACUGCAUUUGAAACUGUUGAUCUUGAGUACUGGAGAGGCAGACGGAAUUCCUAGUGUAGCGGUGAAAUGCGUAGAUAUUAGGAGGAACACCAGUGGCGAAGGCGGUCUGCUGGACAGCAACUGACGGUGAGGCGCGAAAGCGUGGGGAGCAAACAGGAUUAGAUACCCGAGUAU